rnacentral:lncRNA from 1 species
AUGAACAAUUUAAUCCAUUUUAGAAUAGGUGCCAACGAACAAAAUGUGGGGAAAUGUCAAGGGUUCAGAAUACUUUCCAAAUGCACGGUGUAUAGUGCACUACACGGGAAGUGGGGGUGCAAUUUGGAACGGACCCUAUGUCUUAGUAGUGAAGUUUUAGUAAUGCAUUCAGAAGAAGCGUGCAAAGAGCUUUGGACGCAUGUCCAUCAGCUGUUAAAUGGCCCUGUCAAUGGCACUGCAUGUCCAUCAGCUGUUAAAUGGCACUGCAUGUCCAUGGCACUGCAUGUCCAUCAGCUGUUUAAAAUGGCCCUGUCAAUGGCCAUUGCAUGUCCUCAGCUGUUAAAUGGGCCCUGUCAAUGCACUGCAUGUCCAUCAGCUGUUAAAUGGCCCUGUCAAUGGCACUUGCAUGUCCAUCAGCUGUUAAAUGGCCGCUCAUGGCACUGCAUGUCCAUCAGCUGUUAAAUGGCCCUGUCAAUGGCACUGCAUGUCCAUCAGCUGUAAAUGGCCUGUCAUGGCACUGCAGUCAUCAGCUGUUAAUGCCUGUCAUGGCACUCGCUGUCAUCAGCUUAAAUGGCACGCGUCCAUGGCACUGCAUUCCAUCAGCUGUUAAAUGGCCCUGUAUGUCAAUGCACUGUGUCAAUGGCACUGCAUGUCAAUGGCACUGCAUGUCAAUGGCACUGCAUGUCAUGAUGGCAUGUAGGCACUGUCUUAAGGUUCUGAACUCAAGAGUUUGAUAUCACCCAUUUUUCUUACUCGAAUGUCACUUUGAUUUGUCGGCCUUCCGCGGUAAAACCCACUUGGUCAUUGGGUAAUACACAUUAUUUUCUGGAUCUACUACAGUACCUAUCCUUUGUAUUACAUGAUAGAGAUCCGUUUUUGUUGCACCACCACUGCAUCAUGCCGCGAUGGUCAUGUGAGGUGAAAGUGUAUUUUUGGGGAUGUGAGCACUCAGUUGUUUUGACCUGACGGAAGAUCUGUUUGUGAUCGCAGCGUUGUCCAUAAAGACGGAGAUUUGGGAGCUUUAACAGUGUGCGGGCUUUCUGUCUUCUGUACCAGUAAUCUUUUUAUUAGCC